GGAAGAAAAGUCGUAACAAGGUCUCCGUAGGUGAACCUGCGGAGGGAUCAUUACAGAGUUCAUGCCCUACCGGGUAGAUCUCCCACCCUAUGUUAUUAUUAUUUGUUGCUUUGGUGGGCCGCGAGAUCGCCUAGCGAUUGAGCACCGGCUUUGGCUGGAGAGCGUCUGCCAGAGGACCCAACUCUGUUAUUUAUGUCGUCUGAGUACUAUUUAAUAGUUAAAACUUUCAACAACGGAUCUCUUGGUUCUG
rnacentral:misc_RNA from 1 species